CGGCGCAGCAGGGUGCGGGAACACCCGGCAGCGCCUAACCAAAACCGCCUACACAGGAGGCAAGCAUGGCUUU
rnacentral:antisense_RNA from 1 species